AAAGUCGUAACAAGGUUUCCGUAGGUGAACCUGCGGAAGGAUCAUCAACAAAUCUAUAUUAAGAUUUAGUGGUCAAACGCUACUAAAUCUUUAACCAAUGUGAAUUGGGUGGUGUAAAAACUACCUUUUCUUUAGGUUUCUUUUCGGAGAACCUAUAUAAACGAGUUUAAUAAUAGAGUCUGAUUAAAAUAAAUUAAAUUUUAAACAACUUUUAACAAUGGAUCUCUUGGCUCUU
rnacentral:misc_RNA from 1 species